rnacentral:rRNA from 1 species
GUCGAGAAUCUUUCACAAUGGGGGCAACCCUGAUGGAGCGACGCCGCGUGGAGGAUAAGGUCUUCGGAUUGUAAACUCCUGUCAUGCGUGAACAAGGUUGCUUGGUUAAUACCUGGGCAAAUUGAUGGUAACGCAAGAGGAAGAGACGGCUAACUCUGUGCCAGCAGCCGCGGUAAUACAGAGGUCUCAAGCGUUGUUCGGAAUCACUGGGCGUAAAGGGUGCGUAGGAGGCGUGGUAAGUCAGAUGUGAAAGCCCGGGGCUCAAACUCGGAACUGCAUCCGAUACUGCCAUGCUAAAGUACUGGAGAGGUGACUAGAAUUCUCGGUGUAGCAGUGAAAUGCGUAGAUAUCGAGAGGAAUACCAAAGGCGUAGGCAGGUCACUGGACAGUUACUGACACUGAGGCACGAAGGCCAGGGGAGCGAACGGGAUUAGAUACCCGAGUAGUCC